rnacentral:lncRNA from 1 species
AGAGCUCAAGAAAAGACUGGAAGAAGAGAAAAUAAAAGCAGAUGAGGAAAGAAAACAAAGAGAGAAUGAGUUCAGACAAAAAGAGGAAAAAAUGAUGAAAAAAUUUGAUGAAAAACACAAAACAGAACAGAAUAAAAGAGAGAUUGAAAACCAGAAACGAUCAGAGGAGGAAAAACAGCAAAGAGCUGAAUAUGAUGGAAAAAUAGAAGAAAUGAAGAGAGAGAUUGAAAAUCAGAGAUCACAGUAUGAAAAACAGCAAAAGGAAAGAGAAGAAGAAGAUAGAAAGAGAGAAGAGAAAUACAGACAAGAUCAAGAAAAGAUGAGAAAUGAUCAAGAACACAUUAUAGCAGAAUUACAGAUGAAAGAAGAAGAAGACAUAAAAAAGAGAGAAUCUGAGCAGAAACGGAGGAAUGAAGAAGAAGAGGAGGAGAGACAGAGAUGGAAGAGAAAAAUAAAAGAGGCUGAAAAUGACAGAAAAGAGACUCAAGAGGAAAUUAAACGACAGCAGAGUGAAUGGGAGGAUGAAAAGAAACGACAGAUGAGAGAACGAGAGGAAGAGCAAAGAAAGAGAAAAGAUAAACAUGAGGAAGAACUGAGAGAAAAACAAGAAGAACUGGAGAAAAUGCGAAAGAGAUUUGAAAGAGAGAGAGAAGAAGAACGACAGAAGAUAGAGAAAGAGAGACAGAAAGAGAGAAGAGAAAGAGGAGAAAAAGAGAGAGAAUAUGAUGAAAAGAAAGAGGAAACAAAAAGACAUUAUGAUCAGCUGGAGCAAAAGAGAAAAGAGGAGUGGGAGAGAAGAAAACGAGAAGAUGAUGAGAAACAAGAAGAAGAGAGAAAGAGAUGGAAGAAAAUGAUUGAAGCUCUGAAACAAGAGCAAGAAGAAGAGAUGAAGAGAAGAGAAAAAGAGGAGAAUGAGAGAAAAGAAAGAGAAGAGAAAGAUAGAAGUGAAAUGAAAAAGGAAUAUGAAGAGAAAAUGAAAAAGAUGAAGAAGAAACAUGAAGGUGAAGCCAGAAAACAAGCAGAAGAACUGAAUGAUUUCAAAGAAGGAAAAGAGCAGCUCCAACAGAAGCUGGAUGAACAUCAGAAUGAAUAUGAAUCACUCAAAAUAUUCCAUCAACACCUGAAAGACCAGAAAGAAAAGGAAAUAAGAGAGUUACAAGAACUUGUUAAACAAGUCUGUCAAAGUCUGCAAGACCAGAAAGAAAAAGAAAUAAAUGAGCUAAAAAAACAAGCUGAAGCACUCAAUAACCUCCUGAAAGACCAGAAAGGACAAAAAAUAGGAGCACUUCAAGAAGACGUUAAACAAUUCUGUCAAAGCCUGCAAGAUCAUAAAGGAAACAAAAUGAAGGAGUUGCAACAAGAAGCUGAAAAACUCUGUCAAACCCUGCAAGACAAGAAAGAGGAACAUUCCAAGAUGCUCCAAAAAGAAGCUGAAGAGAGAAAUAAUAAAUCAAAGAAAGGAUGGUGUUCCCUUAUGUGAUUUUCACAGCACACACACACACACACACACAUAUAUACAUAUAUAUUAGGGAUGUACUGUUUUUGGCCAAAAGAGAAAAAAACUGUUAAGGCUAGAAGGUACAGCUGUGGCUACUGAGCAUGCACACAUCAAUAUAGUGUAAUUUUUGAAUGUGCGGUCUGUUCGUGUACUGCUCAUGCUCACUGGAAAAAGUUUGCUCAAAUAAUGCGCCAGCGGGACAUUUCUGUCUAGUAUAGCUUACUGUGCUGUAACAUGCUGUAGUACAGCUGCACUGGGCCAUGCUGGUAAAAUGACACUACUCUCUCGUGAUGCUCUGCUCUGCUCACAUGCUCUGAUAAUAAUAGCUUUGUAGGAAUAUACAUUAUUCAGAUAAUUAGUCA